rnacentral:rRNA from 1 species
GACGAACGCUGGCGGCGUGCUUAACACAUGCAAGUCGAACGGAAAGGCCCUGCUUUUGUGGGGUGCUCGAGUGGCGAACGGGUGAGUAACACGUGAGUAACCUGCCCUUAACUUUGGGAUAACUUCAGGAAACUGGGGCUAAUACCGGAUAGGAGCUCCUGCUGCAUGGUGGGGGUUGGAAAGUUUCGGCGGUUGGGGAUGGACUCGCGGCUUAUCAGCUUGUUGGUGGGGUAGUGGCUUACCAAGGCUUUGACGGGUAGCCGGCCUGAGAGGGUGACCGGCCACAUUGGGACUGAGAUACGGCCCAGACUCCUACGGGAGGCAACAGUGGGGAAUAUUGCACAAUGGGCGGAAGCCUGAUGCAGCAACGCCGCGUGCGGGAUGACGGCCUUCGGGUUGUAAACCGCUUUCGCCUGUGACGAAGCGUGAGUGACGGUAAUGGGUAAAGAAGCACCGGCUAACUACGU